rnacentral:sRNA from 1 species
GUUGAAUCAAGGGAUUCUUUGAAUAGCAUAGCCCUGAAAUUUGAUACAACACCUAACGAACUUGUUCAAUUAAAUAAGUUAUUCUCCCGAGCAGUUGUUACUGGACAGGUUCUGUAUGUUCCUGAUCCUGAAUAUGUCUCCAGUGUAGAGAGCUCUCCAUCUCUAAGCCCCGUAAGUCCUCUGUCACCAACAUCAUCUGAGGCUGAAUUUGAUAAGACCACUAAUCCUGAUGUCCAUCCAACAGAAGCAACUCCCUCAUCUGCUUUCACUGGUAUUCGACCUGCACGAGUUGUAUCUUCAACUUCUGAGGAAGAGGAAGCAUUUACUGAGAAAUUUCUUAAAAUUAAUUGCAAAUAUAUUACCAGUGGCAAGGGCACAGUCAGUGGUGUACUGCUAGUUACACCAAAUAAUAUAAUGUUUGAUCCACAUAAAACUGACCCUUUGGUUCAAGAGAAUGGCUGUGAGGAAUAUGGCAUCAUGUGUCCAAUGGAAGAGGUGAUGUCAGCUGCAAUGUACAAAGAAAUUUUGGAUAGCAAAAUAAAGGAAUCCUUACC